GAUGAACGCUAGCUACAGGCUUAACACAUGCAAGUCGAGGGGAAACGAUAGAGAAAGCUUGCUUUUUCUAGGCGUCGACCGGCGCACGGGUGAGUAACGCGUAUCCAACCUGCCCAUCACUUGGGGAUAACCUUGCGAAAGUAAGACUAAUACCCAAUGAUAUCUCUAGAAGACAUCUGAAAGGGAUUAAAGAUUUAUCGGUGAUGGAUGCGGAUGCGUCUGAUUAGCUUGUUGGCGGGGUAACGGCCCACCAAGGCGACGAUCAGUAGGGGUUCUGAGAGGAAGGUCCCCCACAUUGGAACUGAGACACGGUCCAAACUCCUACGGGAGGCAGCAGUGAGGAAUAUUGGUCAAUGGGCGAGAGCCUGAACCAGCCAAGUAGCGUGCAGGAUGACGGCCCUAUGGGUUGUAAACUGCUUUUAUAAGGGAAUAAAGUGAGUCUCGUGAGACUUUUUGCAUGUACCUUAUGAAUAAGGACCGGCUAAUUCCGUGCCAGCAGCCGCCGCGG
rnacentral:rRNA from 1 species